rnacentral:rRNA from 1 species
GAGUUUGAUCGUGGCUCAGGAUGAACGCUGGCGGCGUGCCUAAUACAUGCAAGUAGAACGCUGAAGCUUGGUGCUUGCACCGAGCGGAUGAGUUGCGAACGGGUGAGUAACGCGUAGGUAACCUGCCUGGUAGCGGGGGAUAACUAUUGGAAACGAUAGCUAAUACCGCAUAACAGUAGAUAUUGCAUGAUAUCUGCUUGAAAGGUGCAAUUGCAUCACUACCAGAUGGACCUGCGUUGUAUUAGCUAGUUGGUGAGGUAACGGCUCACCAAGGCGACGAUACAUAGCCGACCUGAGAGGGUGAUCGGCCACACUGGGACUGAGACACGGCCCAGACUCCUACGGGAGGCAGCAGUAGGGAAUCUUCGGCAAUGGGGGAACCCUGACCGAGCAACGCCGCGUGAGUGAAGAAGGUUUUCGGAUCGUAAAGCUCUGUUGUAAGAGAAGAACGAGUGUGAGAGUGGAAAGUUCACACUGU